AUUCUCUAAGCUCUCUCUCUCUUGUAGGGUAGAAUAAAUUGCUCUCCAAAGUUGAUUUAAUAACCCACUUAAGGUGGACUUAAGUAGGCUUUGAGAGAAAUUUAUUUCCCUUUCCUAGAAGGAUCUAAUUUCCUAUUAAAGAGGGAAUCAACAUUAAAAUAUGAAACAAUCCUAUGUUUCCUUAAGCAAGAAGAUCUCUACACCUGCUGCCCUUUCCUGUGAGCAGCCCAACAGGUGUAGGGGCAUUUGUGGAGCCUAAAAUAAUCACAAGACGACACGUGGAUCUUUGUAUGAAAAUGACAAGAAUACCCUUGAGGCACAUCAGAGUUCCUAUGCGUGAGCAGCGGGCAAUCAUUUUUCAACCAAGUCAAAAGUGUCCAAAAUAGGUAACAAUUCAAAACCUAUUUCAUCCAUCCUCAUCAAAUUCUUUCUCCAAGGUAAUGCCCAAAACGUUCCUUUUAAAUUAUGUUAAUUGGCUAAUUAAUAGAUUUAUUACCUAAUUAAUCUAUUAAUAGCCAAUUAAACCACCAAUUACUCCCAAAAAACACACAUAAGGCCGGUCACCUUCUCUCCCAAGGGGGCUAGCCAUUCCUUAUAAUUUCUACCUCAUUUUACCCUUUUAUUAGCUAAUCAAUUAGGCAAAUAUUUUAUUAAUUGACUAAUUGAUUAGCUAAUUAUUCCAUAACUCCCAAUUUAAAAACAAAUCAAGAACCUAGCCCACAAAGGGAGCUAGGGGGCUGGGGGACUGGUCCUCUCUCACCCAAAGAGGUCGGCCACUCUCCUAUUUAAACCCCUUCAUUCUCCUCAAAGUUCACUUCCAACUCUCUUGCUAAAAUUCUCUAAAAAUUCUCAAUCACUUUCUCUCUAAAUUUGAACUUUGGCAUCGGAGGUUCUUCGGCCAAAGCCCCCCCCCCCCCCCAAUUCAUCAUGGGUGUGUGAGGCUCUUGGCUUUGACCAAAUGUGUUAAUUGUUUUGUAGGUGCAAUUUUGUCCAAGAUCAAGGAGGAAGAAAUUUGCAUUCACAACAACUCCCUUGAAGGCCUCCUAUAUAUGUAUACAUAUGUGUGUGUGUGUGUGAAAAUCAAUAGAUGGAGACAAUGAGGAGAUGAGUGAGAGUAGUACCUGAUGAUGAUUGAGAGUAGGUGAGACGGUGGAGGUGGUGAUGGUAGGAGCAACAGAGCAACCAAAGAGGAAGAUUUAGAUGUGGUUCUUCUUCCUCUCCCUUCACUUAUUUUUCUCUCUCAAAUUCAGACGAAAAUGAGUGGCACAUGCUCAAAUGAAACAGCAAGACACCAAAGAUUGGAAGAUUGAAUUGAAGUCAGUGGACCCAAGCUUUUCAUGCAUCAGGGAGUUUGGGCCAGGGUGAGUCUGAGGUAGCAGUAGAGACGGUAUCUGAAUGUUCGUCGACAAGACAACGAUCUCUCCUCUCCUCUCCUUCUUGGGAAGGAGAUCGUUGUCGUUGUGUCAGGAAGAAAUAAGGGAGA
rnacentral:lncRNA from 1 species